GGGAGGAAAAGAAACUAACAAGGAUUUUCUUAGUAGCGGCGAGCGAAAAGAAAAUAGUUCAGCACUAAGUCACUUUGUCUUUAAUGGCAAAUGUGAGAUGCAGUGUAUGGAAUGUUCAAUUCUAGUAUGAGAAAUUAGCGAUUUAAGUCCUUCUUAAAUGAGGCCAUUUACCCAAAGAGGGUGCUAGGCCCGUAUAACGUUAAUGAUUACUAGAGAACAAUUCCAAAGAGUCGUGUUGCUUGAUAGUGCAGCACUAAGUGGGUGGUAAACUCCAUCUAAAACUAAAUAUAACCAUGAGACCGAUAGUAAACAAGUACCGUGAGGGAAAGUUGAAAAGAACUCUGAAUAGAGAGUUAAAUAGUACGUGAAACUGCUUAGAGGUUAAGCCCGAUGAACCCGAAUAUCCAUUAUGGAAAAUUCAUCAUUAUGAAUUAUGAUAUUUAAUAAAUAUUAUAUUAAUGGUGUGCAUUUUUUCCAUAUAAGGACAUUGUAAUCUAUUAAUAUUAAAAUUUAUCAUAAAGUCAUUGGCUUUAAAGUUUAUUCAAAUUAUUAUGCUUGCAUUUUAACAUAGAAUAAAUGCUUUUGAUUUGAUAGAUUGUUGAUAGAUUUAUAUUUAUAUAGUGCUUAAAUAUAUUUAUAUAUUUUAUAAUAGCAUAUAAAUCAAUAAUUUUUAUGUUUAUUAUAUGCACUUAUAUGAUUUACAAUGCGAAAGAUUCGGGAUACCUUCGGGACCCGUCUUGAAACACGGACCAAGGAGUCUAACAUAUUUGCAAGUUAUUGGGUUCUUUAAAAACCUAAUAGCGAAAUUAACAUGACAAAAUUAAUAUGGGAUUAGUUAUUAGUUCUAUGGAAUACCUAGACUAUUAAUUCAAUCCCGGGGCGUUCUAUACAGUUAUGUAUAAUAAUAUUUAUAUUAUUUAUACCUCUAACUAGAACGUACCUUGAGCAUAUAUGCUGUAACCCGAAAGAUGGUGAACUAUACUUGAUCAGGUUGAAGUCAGGGGAAACCCUGAUGGAAGACCGAAACAG
rnacentral:rRNA from 1 species